AACGAACGCUGGCGGCAGGCUUAACACAUGCAAGUCGAACGCAUCCUUCGGGGUGAGUGGCAGACGGGUGAGUAACGCGUGGGAACGUGCCCUUCAGUUCGGGAUAACCCAGGGAAACUUGGGCUAAUACCGGAUACGUGCGAGAGCAGAAAGAUUUAUCGCUGAAGGAUCGGCCCGCGUCUGAUUAGCUAGUUGGUGGGGUAAUGGCCCACCAAGGCGACGAUCAGUAGCUGGUCUGAGAGGAUGAUCAGCCACAUUGGGACUGAGACACGGCCCAAACUCCUACGGGAGGCAGCAGUGGGGAAUGUUGGACAAUGGGCGCAAGCCUGAUCCAGCCAUGCCGCGUGAGUGAUGAAGGCCUUAGGGUUGUAAGCCUCUUUUAGUAGGGAAGAAGCGAAAGUGACGGUACCUGCAGAAAAAGCACCGGCUAACUACGUGCCAGCAGCCGCCGUAA
rnacentral:rRNA from 1 species